CGAAUAUCACAGCGCGAAACUGCAAAGCAAGUCGUUCAUACAUACCUCCGCCUCGACGUCUCGAGUGAGCGCGUCGCGCGACACGUUCAUUCCGAUAAACACCUCAUACACUCUAAAUUGUUUUACACACACGGCACACGGCGCGCGGUACUCGAUCGCGUAGCGCGUAUUCCCGCGGCCCGCGAAACGAGGAAGCAGGAAUGCCAAUCACCGAAACGAGCGCGUUCCGAAAACAGCACGAAGCACGGUGACGUCGGUGACGAGCGCGCGCGAAGCACAAACACUUCCUACCGGUGCGAGAUUCCUCGGAAGAAUGAUAACUGAGUCACUCACGCAGGUAACACUACUCCGAGCGUUGACGGAAACAAGUGACAAGUCCGCUCAUCGCCAGAAACAACGUUGAAAACGCGCCGAUCUUCGAGGUACGGAGCUUUCGAGUUCAACGGUCACGCCGCUAGUACGGACUGCGCAGGUUUAACUGGCUGUAUUCUACGUUCUGCGUUCUGUCUCGGUGGUGUCUGGUCGACGUAGCUGUCUCUCGAAACGCGAGUGUUAUAUACAUAUAUCGCGAACACGUAGUGAUCAUUAGCCUGGCGAUUACGUGCAAUCAGAUGCAACUCCCGGGCCGGCCGAGCGCGCGGCCGCCGCGGCCAGAAUAAUAUCCCCUCCAGCUGGCUAGUUCAGACAUUAGCACGGACGCAAACCAUGUGCGGUUACCGAGCGAUACGACGUAGUUGAGUUGCACUUUCU